UAAUACACCUGUUGUACCAGCUGUAGGGUGGACAGUGACAGAAUGGCUGAUGUCUUCCGGUCAGUACUUCUGCUGAAGUCAUAUGGAAUGUGUACUUUAGUUCUAAAGGGAGACAUUGCGGUAGUGCAGAACAGCAUCAACUACACCAGAUAAGGGAUCAUAAUGGUUUCAUGGAUUGCAUAGUGAGUAUGAGAAAAGGGAGGAGGCAAGGAUGACUCCUAGGUUUUCCACCUAAUUAUCAUGGUGAAUAGUGGAGCCACUCAUUAGGUGGAAAGACUGGGGAAGUGUAAUUUUGGAAAUGGGUGAAAGGGUAAAUGGAUGGAAUUUCAAGAAUUUGGUUUAGUGUACAUUCAGUUUAGUACACAUUUAGUACACAAACAUCUUGUGGUCAUUUUGCCACUUUUCUGAAGGAGGUAGCAUCUUAAAGAUCAGUGUCCUAAUGGGCGUUUCUUUUCUCCCAGGCUGGAAGAAUUGAGACUGGUUGAUUUUAUUUUAAGCCUUUGUAUAGCUCUUUGUGAAGAUAACUUAGUACAAAUGCUAAACAAGAGAGCAUCACCCAUUUGUUUGGCCUUUUCAAAAUUUACAUCCAUCUAACUUGAUCCAAACAAGCAACUUCUCUUUACCAGGAACCCCAUAACUUGCUCACUUGGCACGCAAGGAUCUCCUGUAGCCCACAACUGAGUUAUUGCCACCACAGAAGGAGGAAGGGGAGGCUUGUUUUUCACUGUAGUGAGUUGGCCUGCUGCAUGAUUUCAGAGGCUGGGAUUCAGCACACAAAGGUUACCUACUGUAUUUAACCAGUGAGUGACUCAUCAGGACAAGAAUGUGGGUAAAGGGCCUCUCAAAUGGUGACAUUCUGCAGUUCUGCUCUUGUCUCUACAGCUAUAGGCUGCAGUUGAAAGAAGAAAGGUGGCUCUUAGUGGACUAAAAUAGGGGGCUGCAUCACAUAUAUACUCUGUUCAUCCAGGCAGUGGCACAUGACUUUGUAGGAGUGAAAUGCACAUUUUCCCAAUCUAAUUGUUUUCCAGAAUCAUUCUCUGUGUGGGAAAUAAACCUCAUCCUCCUGGCCUUAGAAUUCUUAACAUACUAUUUGCUCUCCUAGGAGUUUUGGUACUUCGCCAAACUAAUUGCUUAUCUCAAUGACUAAGGACAAUUUAACAAUAAAAUUUCCUGGACUCUAAUGCAGGAAUUGCUGACUCAUGAGGCCUGGAGAAAAACCCCAGAAACAUAUACUUUUGAAGAAAAAUCUUCAUGGAGUGGCAAAAGUUGUUUACCUGAAGCUCACAAGAUGUAUCCAGAAAAUAUCACCAGGGAUCAGAUCAAGCCUGACCCCCAUUUUACAUCUUCUGUAACCAGAAGCACUCCAAGAACAACACUUUCAUUCAUGGACUUAACAACUACAUUAGAUCAUACCAGCCUGUCACUUCAAAGUCACCAGUGUCAAGGAACAUUUCAAAUUGGCUUAAAGCAUUGUUUUGGAGGUGUGAAUAAUGAAGCCAAGGACAUUAGCAACAUCAUGAAAGCAGGGGAGAGCACAGAAGACAUUAAGCAGAUAGAGAAGCCUGGGAGGGCUUCAGCAAGAAGAAAGUGGAAAGGCACUGGAGGCUGGGCCCCAAGCUGGCAGUCAGUGUGUCUAAGGCACUGUUCAAGGUCCUCAUGACAGAUCCCAUCAGAGCCACAUGUGCCACAUCUCUGCUCACUGCCCGAUGCUAGCACAACCCCAGGUGAGAGGAUGGGACGUAAGUCUUUUGUGCCUUCUGUUUUCCUCAUGUCUCUAGUCGGGCUCUUUGGGAGAAUGCAUGUGAGCAUGUGUGUUUCUUUUCCUUGGCUCCCAAGUCAAAUCAGUCCACUCCUGGUACUUGGCAACCCAGCACGCUUCCUCCCACUAACGACAAGCCUGUCUGCAAAACAGAACAACAUCUUUGAGAUGGGGUGUUUAUCUGGGCAGCACACAGCCUCUGCAGCCCACAGGGGCCCCUCCUUCAAAGGCAUUGCUGAACAGGGCUCACCUGAUGAAAGCCUGAACUGUGCAUGCUUGACUUGAUUUACGGGCAAUGGCCAGCUCAUUAGGCACACUGGCCUGAGGAAGCCAGCCAGCUGUGGGGACAAAUGUUUUCGGAGCUCUGUGGUGCCCACAGGGCUGCUUGUAGCUGGGGGACAAGAGUACAGUGGGGACAGUGAUAAGGAACUCUGGAAUCCAAGCCUGGCUCAGGGAGCCUUAACUACCCACGAGAUUGAUAUCUAGGGUGCAAAGGCUAUAAAAAUUAGAUUAACUUAGCUCAGCUGUGCUCACUGAAGGAUUAGGUUGCAGCUGGUGCUGAAACAUUAGCAAUCAGACCUCAGAGAUGGGGAAAAGUGUCACGUUGGAAGGAAGGGAGUAAGAUGAAUCACCUCUCAGCAUGCCUGCUCCCCAGGAAAAUGAUAGCUUAUAAAGGUAGUCUUGCAUUACAGAUAAUCCUAUAGAACACCAGUAAGAAAGCAAGUUAUGUGUUCCUUGAGAUAUGGCAUUAGAAAUUGGGAUCACAUCUUCUAAUUCUGGGAAAGUCACCUGGGACAAACCGCUUUAAAAACAUUCCCAACUUCCUCCAUGAAAUAAGACCAAACACUAAAAAAUAUUUCAGAUAACCUGAAAAACAAGUCAACUCUGAAUUCUAGUAUUUUAAGAUAUUAGUUCCAAUAAUCCCAAUUGUCCAUUGAUGAUUUUUCUGUGGCCCUGGACCUUGGUCUCCCAAGUUCAUCUCCUUAGAAAAUAUCUUCACCUGGAAGAUUUUCUACAAAAAUUCCUCACAUUCCCAGUUUGCUGCUUAGGUGGAAAGUCUAGUAGACUUCACAUUCCACAUCACAUACAGUACAAGAAGGACAACACGUUUCUCACCAGAAGCCCAUUGCUUCAUGUUAAUUUUGAAAGGAACAGCUCUUAAGCAUACUCUUCAGUAAACUGUCAACUCUUUUCACCUCUUUUGAUAAAGCUUCUUUUAAAAGUUACCAUUUACUGAACACUUACUAUGUGCCAGGCACUGUGCUAAUGCUUUAUGUAACAAGGGGAAUCAUUAUCCAAAUUUAUAUGUGUUGUUCAAGAGUAAUUAUUAGUAAAGCUACUUACUUUCACAAAAGCAUCUAGGUUUGGAUUAUAAAUGCUUAUGCUCAGCAUAUAUAUAAUUAAUUCACAGAUUAGAUGUACGCGUGUGUUAUUAUUAACUAGGUGCUCAACCAGUGGUGAUAUUGUGAACAACAAUAAAGGUUCUGACUAUAAAACUGAACAUGGAAUAUAGAAGAAGCAAAGCCUAGAUCAAUAAAAGCCCACUUCUUACAAUGUUUCUUAUUCAGAAUGUGAAUGCCAUUUGAGAGGUUAGGUUAAAGCUGACACAAAAGAGAUCACUGGCUUUUUAAACUGAGAACUGUAGAGGGUUUACCUCAAGGAAGGCAGUUUGCUGGGGAGUGACACCUUGCAUGAUCGAAUAAGGACUCACAGAAAAUUGAUGUCCGAGUUAUCAGCCCUCACCCUGUCAUGGACCAGUCCCAUGAUCCAAGGGAAAUCAUUUCAUUUUUCUUUCAAGGUGCAUAUGUUGUUCUGUUUAUUUUUUGCACAAGGAAACACUGGAAGUUUAACAAGGAACUGAAAGAAAAAGGUUAUCUAUGGAGUAUUUUGGAAUGAAGUGGAGGGGAAAGGGAAUUAUGUGAGAUUUAGAAAUCAAUAUAUGCCUAUUUUUUUAUUUUUGUUUACUUUAUGUAUAUCUUAUUUAUUUCAAUAGG
rnacentral:lncRNA from 1 species